GAUUGAACGCUGGCGGCAUGCCUUACACAUGCAAGUCGAACGGCAGCACGGGAGCAAUCCUGGUGGCGAGUGGCGAACGGGUGAGUAAUAUAUCGGAACGUGCCCAGUCGUGGGGGAUAACGUAGCGAAAGCUACGCUAAUACCGCAUACGAUCUAUGGAUGAAAGCGGGGGAUCGCAAGACCUCGCGCGAUUGGAGCGGCCGAUAUCAGAUUAGGUAGUUGGUGAGGUAAAGGCUCACCAAGCCGACGAUCUGUAGCUGGUCUGAGAGGACGACCAGCCACACUGGGACUGAGACACGGCCCAGACUCCUACGGGAGGCAGCAGUGGGGAAUUUUGGACAAUGGGCGCAAGCCUGAUCCAGCAAUGCCGCGUGCAGGAUGAAGGCCUUCGGGUUGUAAACUGCUUUUGUACGGAACGAAACGGUGAGCUCUAAUACAGUUUGCUAAUGACGGUACCGUAAGAAUAAGCACCGGCUAACUACGUG
rnacentral:rRNA from 1 species